GGUUGUAUAGCUCAGUGGUAGAGCAUGUGCUUGGCAUGCACGAGGUCCUGGGUUCAAUCCCCAGUACCUCUG
rnacentral:tRNA from 1 species